AUUUAGUGAUUCCUUAAAUGCAUAAAUACUAAAAUUGAUACUAUCAUUGUUAUGUUUCUCCUUGUUUAUUUAUAAUAGACACUCAUUGAUUCCUUAGUUUUUUAUUUAAUUGGGUAUCUGGUAAAUUUUAUUUUUCUUUUCCUCAUUUUCUGUGCUACUCCUGUAGUAAAGGAGUUGAUAUGUAGCUCUAAAUCUAGACAUCUUUCUGAAUAGUCUUCUGUAGCCACCCCACGUAAGGUUAGAUGUUUUCACACUGUUGUGAGUAAUUCCUAUUACAUAUUAAUUUUUUUUUCCUUAAGGAAUAAUAUAGGUAUCUGUUAAAUUUGAGACUUGAGAUUUUCACUGACUUUGUAAAGUUUACCUUAUAAUUUAGAAAACUAUUGCAUCUCUUGCCCCAGAGAGGGAUUUGAUUGGCUUCUUUGUUCAAGCUGACCACUGCGUUUGCCUCUCAUACGCUCUUCAGAGUAACUGAUGUAUCUCAGAGGCCUUCUGACGAGUUCUGAAGGCUGAUUUCACUCAGUAGAAAGACAGUUUGAUUCCUGAAUUAGGCUUUUCGGAGGAAAAAACAUUUAAUUACAUUUGUUUGUAAACCCUUCAACUAGAAGAAAAUGGGGAGAAAUGUUAACAGAUAUUGACCCUCUAUUGCAGUAAUUUAAUUUCUAUCUAAUCAAACAUUAUUUAGGAAACAAAUAUAAUAGUUAAUAGUACUUAUGCACUGCAAACACUUUUUAAAAGUAAAUUUAGAUCUGUUUGUUUUAUGCAUAUGUGCAUAUGUACAAAAAACAAGCAAUAAGUAGUAAGCUGUUUAUCUCUUUUAAACUCAGGGAGAAUCUAGUUUACUUACCCACUUGAGAAUAUGGUCUUGUGUUUGGUUAUUGAAGAGGAUUAGACAUGCUUCAGAAAUUGCCUGUUGGUCUUUAAGUCUUCUGAUCAGUUUUCAGUGGCAUCUGUUAUUUAACUUGAAAAAUGACCACAGGUGUAGCCUUUUAAUUGUUGAUUUUAGGUUUGCAGGUAAAAUAUA